UUUUUUGUUUUCCCCUCCCUCUCAGCCACUGACCCCACAGUGCAGUGAGCCCAAUGCCCUGGGUGCUGCUUUGGGGAACCCCUCCUUGACCCACGGUGCACGGGGAACCCCAGACCCAUCCUGCAGUGCUGGGGAUCAUGCUCAUGGAGCAGCGGGAAACUCUGCCCUUUUUUCAAGGAAAUUAUGUAUUAUUAUUGUUACUGAGAGGGUGUAAAAAAGAGAAACAAAGCCCUCUGGGGAACUAGAAUUAUUGUGUGCUGGUUUGGGAUAAAUGCUCCCCUUUCAGUGCUCAGGUGACGCCUUCAUCUCCCCCAGCCUCUGAGAUGUUCCAGUUGAUGACCAUUGGAGUUCAACCAUCGAUGAAUGUGAGUCCUAGCAAAAACAAUGGGGUCCCUUCCAGCUCUGGAUGUUCUGUGAUUCUGUGCAAUGAGAGAUGCUCUGGCAUGGGUCUGGGUUUGCCAAUGCUUCUCCCACAUUUAACGUCCAUAAAACCCCACUGGGACAUUAUCUGCCCAGCAUGUGAACAUAUCAUUGAACUAGUCAGGGAAGGAGGGAACACCAAAGUUGCCCAUGUCCCUGUGGGAAUGAAGCAGCUCCCAUCCUUGUAAAUACAUUUUGUUAGUGGCCACAACAGCCAUAGGGGAUGUGGAGGGGAUGAGGAAAACCCCAGCCAGGUUUCACCCCUGCCAGCUGCUCGCAGGAGCUCCUGAGGUGUCUGGACAGGUAAUUAGUGCCUGGUCUGCAGGAUCCCUCCCGUCCUCUGCCCAGCACAUGCAAGGAGCGGCAGGGCUGGAUUUUUGAUGGCUGAUUUAGCCCGAACAAAGGCCCCAAACAGCACUGAGCGCCCGACUCAGGGAUGGAAACUUUAGAGCCAACGGGCUCCUUUCCCAUCAGUUAAAAAUAGUGUUAUUUUUUUUCUAAGCUGAUAACAUUUUAAACAUUUUGCAAGACAGAGUUUUCUUGGGAGGCAGGGAAACCUGUGCGUUUGCUAUAAAAGAAACUUCUGUGGAUAAGGAAAUGUUUCCUGUGAACUCACCUGUUGCCAGCCAAGGAGAAAUGUUCGGUGUUUCAUUUCAAUCGAGAAUUCACUGCUAUCUGGUGCUUUAUCUAACCUCACUCUUUGGAAGAUUUGAUGUCAUGCUUGGCAGAGCCCUCAGAUCCACGCGGCUUUAUGGUGCUGCUCUGCUAAAACUCCUCAUGUGUUGGUGUACAGUUGAAAAUAAAGCCUGAAAUCCUCACAGAAUGGGCAAACGUGGCCCAAAUUGGCCUUGAAUUUUGAAACAGGAGUUGAUAUAAGCACCUCUGUGCAACUCUCCCAGUGUCUGAGCAGUGCCAGGCAGUGCUAUUUGCUGCAUAGGAGAGGUCUCUGCCACACAGCCACUGGUUUUUAUUGCAUGUUGUAUAGUGGCCCUUACUGUUUAACUUUACAUAGAGACUGAUGUCGAAGGGCAGCCUUAGCUUCUCAGAACCUGUACAACACUAAUGGCUGCAUGGGCCAACAUCUGCAACCAUUUUGGUCUUUGUGGUUUACAGAGGUCGCCAUCAGGUGGAGUGGGAUACUAAAACGUAAGCCCAUGCUUCAGCCACAAUAGACUACGUAUUUUUUUCAAGUAAAUCAGCUUUUUGCAAAUAGUGUUUUUUUGGGGCAGUGUUUGGGGCUGCCCUUUGCCUCAGAUGGUGGCAGGUUCCAAGGAAGAUGCAACAAUGAUCUCCAGAGAUCCCUCCCAACCUCUAUGACUCCAUAACAACAGCCAGCUGGGACACAGCCUCUGAUGUGCUCACAACCUGACCCACCCUGGCUGCCUGCUGUAGCACUGAAGUUGCCCACAAUCAAGGUGAAUGUAAAAUUACUACUAAUUAACUAUUUCAUUGGGCCAUAUGCAAUAUGGUCCUGUAACUUCUAAUUAUGAGCACUUUGUACAUAAGGUGGCAUGUGGUCUGGUUUCAGACACUUAGGCCUUACUGCUCGGUGGAUCACCCAAGGCCACACAUAGGUAACCUUUUCUGCAGUGCAAAUGCUGCUUAAUUGACUCAGUAGGUCCCAGCUGUGGCUGUAAUUAGUUUAUAAGUUGUGCCACCUGUGUGCUGGUUGCCUUUCUUUUUGGAUCUGCUUGGUGGUCAGCAGUUGCUGCUGCUUCUAGAUCAUCAGGAGCAGUUUCCAAGGAGACUACCUCCUUGUGGGUUGAAUCUUCAGCAGGUGCAUAUUAGCUCAUUUCCAGCAAAGUCUGCAGGCAGAAAAUCAACUUCUCUCUUGGCUGACCUUUCCUCACCUGCUUCCCGUUUUAUCCUCUCAUGGAUGCAACUUUCCCUGCAGGAAAAAGAGAUGGAAAGAAAUGCACAAGAGCAUGGAUAUGUAAAUAACUUUUCCUGACUUUUCCUGACACAUUUCAGAUUUGGCUCUGUGCAAUUCAAUACAGUGUCACACUUGGUGCGUGCCAGCUUUGCGCCUGAAGUAAAAGAGCCAGGGAACUGUACCAGAUCAGACCUCCGAGGAAGAAGCUUUUGCUGGAAUCCAUGACCACACAGAAGGAAAAUGGAGACAGCAACCUUGUCUCCCAAAGGUGUUGUGGGACUUCUCACCUUCUGGAAAUCCUGCUUGCACGGCUGCUUCAUUCCACUGUUUUCCCAGAUUGAUGCUUUACCUUACUGAUUUGCUGUGGAAGGAUUACCAUCGCAGCUUGUCCGCACUGCUCAAACGUGAUUACUGGUUUCAGAAAUUGAGAUUACCAUUUCUGGUCCUAUUUAAAAUCGAGGAAGAAAUGUGAAAUUCUGAAAUCUUUUCAUGACUGAAAAACAGCUUUCCACCAAGAUCCCCUCAAAUGAGAUUGCAGAAAUUCUUCUUUCUCCUUCUUCCCUGGCUCCCUUAUCAUGCAAUUCUCUUCAUGCUGUUCUCCAAGACCAAAUCUGAGCCAGCCUGAGAUUUGUGC